GAUGGCGUGCCUUUUGUAGAAUGAACCGGCGAGUUACGAUUUGAUGCAAGGUUAAGCAGUAAAUGUGGAGCCGUAGCGAAAGCGAGUCUGAAUAGGGCGUUUAGUAUUUGGUCGUAGACCCGAAACCAGGUGAUCUACCCUUGGUCAGGUUGAAGUUCAGGUAACACUGAAUGGAGGACCGAACCGACUUACGUUGAAAAGUGAGCGGAUGAACUGAGGGUAGCGGAGAAAUUCCAAUCGAACCUGGAGAUAGCUGGUUCUCUCCGAAAUAGCUUUAGGGCUAGCCUCAAGUGAUGAUUAUUGGAGGUAGAGCACUGUUUGGACGAGGGGCCCCUCUCGGGUUACCGAAUUCAGACAAACUCCGAAUGCCAAUUAAUUUAACUUGGGAGUCAGAACAUGGGUGAUAAGGUCCGUGUUCGAAAGGGAAACAGCCCAGACCACCAGCUAAGGUCCCAAAAUAUAUGUUAAGUGGAAAAGGAUGUGGCGUUGCCCAGACAACUAGGAUGUUGGCUUAGAAGCAGCCAUCAUUUAAAGAGUGCGUAAUAGCUCACUAGUCGAGUGACACUGCGCCGAAAAUGUACCGGGGCUAAACAUAUUACCGAAGCUGUGGAUUGUCCUUUGGACAAUGGUAGGAGAGCGUUCUAAGGGCGUUGAAGCAUGAUCGUAAGGACAUGUGGAGCGCUUAGAAGUGAGAAUGCCGGUGUGAGUAGCGAAAGACGGGUGAGAAUCCCGUCCACCGAUUG
rnacentral:rRNA from 1 species